GUUAUUAUUUUACCCCAACAAGUAAAGCACUAAAUCUUCCUCUCUCUCAGACAUAGACAGAUUCCAAAAAAAACCUGCAAAACCUGUAACAGUAAGAAUUGAUGUAUGGAGAGACUCUGUGAGGAUCUUGUCACCAACAUCCUUUUAUGUUUGCCAGCCAAAUCUGCUGUCCGAUUUAGAUGUCUGAGCAAGUACUACGAUCAACUUGUGUCUGAUCCUAGGUUUGCUACCAGUCAUGCUCUUCGAUCAAACCCUGAUGAGGUACUUGGUCUUCUUCGGUUUACAGCAGGUAGGAGUGCAGAUAAGAUACUCUUCUGUUCUUUUCAUUCAAAACCAAAUAUCCACAAUAAUCCUAAAGUUGUUCCCAUAAAUUCUCAGAUCAUAGCUUCUUGCAAUGGCCUUGUUCUAGGUCUCUCUGAUUCUAGUCUUUCUGUUUGUAACCCUAUUUUACCUGAUAGAAUCCAGACUAUACCAGCACUUGAAACCCCAUAUGGUGCCAAAUGUGAUUUAGGUUUGGCUUAUGACCCAGUUGGUUUCUCUUCGCUUGAAUUCAAGUUAGUUCAUGUUUACAGAGAACAGAUCUUGAAUAUGCCACAAGAUGAAGAUGCUUAUGGCUUUAAGAUAUUCGAUUCAAGUGCAAACUCAUGGAGACAAUCUACAUGCAAGCUGUUCUUGAGACAUUUAAUUCCUAUGCAGCCUCAUUUUUAUGAGUUGAGAGGUCAAGCUGUGUACUUGAAUGGACAUGUGCACUGGUUUAGGGCCUUCGGUGAUAUUGUUGCGUUUAAUGUAGAGAAAGAAGAAGCUACACUCAUCGGUAUGCCUCCAGAACUGCGACUAGCAUGGCUUAACUACCAAGAUUAUUCAUGGUUCGGAGCUGCGGAUGGUUUUCUUUAUGUGGUAUGUGUUUUCAAGAGACAAAUUCUGAUGUGGGCUCUUCUUGAUUAUGAAAACAACAAGUGGGGGCUUGUCAGGAACAAGAUCAAAGGGUUAUCAAGGGUGGCUCAACCCAUUUUCUUUGAUGGUGAGAGGCUUGUUCUGAAUUGUGGGCCAAAAAAGAAAUUAUUGCGGCUGUUCAAUUUGAAACAAGAUCAGUGGACGGAAAUGGGCAGGUUACCAAGGAAUACAAUGGAUGACAGUACUACCGUGUAUGUUCCUUUCAACCCCACCUUAGCUCCUCUGAUGAACAGCAGCGAUCCUUCAAGAACUGCUUCACUCCCAGUCCUUCCGACUGUGAUGCCGAUAAACAACAAGUGCCAGAAAAGAAAACGAGGCAGGGUCGACAGAAAGUAGAGCCAGGAGCAAGAAGGUAUGUUGAGGAUCAAUCCAGAUUCUUCUAGAAUUCCUUAGCUGUUAAGGAAAUAAUGGCUAGUGGUCGACAGAAAGUAGAGCCAGGAGCAAGAAGGUAUACCCUGAUCCAAUCAAUAUUUUGCGGUUGAGAAAUCAUGACAGGAUUUCAUAUUUCAUAGUGUUUACUUUGUUUUCUAUG